rnacentral:rRNA from 1 species
GACGAACGCUGGCGGCGUGCUUAACACAUGCAAGUCGAACGGAAAGGCCCUGCUUUUGUGGGGUGCUCGAGUGGCGAACGGGUGAGUAACACGUGAGUAACCUGCCCUUGACUUUGGGAUAACUUCAGGAAACUGGGGCUAAUACCGGAUAGGAGCUCCUGCUGCAUGGUGGGGGUUGGAAAGUUUCGGCGGUUGGGGAUGGACACGCGGCUUAUCAGCUUGUUGGUGGGGUAGUGGCUUACCAAGGCUUUGACGGGUAGCCGGCCUGAGAGGGUGACCGGCCACAUUGGGACUGAGAUACGGCCCAGACUCCUACGGGAGGCAGCAGUGGGGAAUAUUGCACAAUGGGCGGAAGCCUGAUGCAGCAACGCCGCGUGCGGGAUGACGGCCUUCGGGUUGUAAACCGCUUUCGCCUGUGACGAAGCGUGAGUGACGGUAAUGGGUAAAGAAGCACCGGCUAACUACGUG